GAGUUCUUCUUACAAGCAACACAACGGCUUCGAAAGAAAUGAUGCAAAUAAUGUACUCAACUACAAGUAUCUAUUGAACAAAUACAACAUGGUGGUGAAGUGCAUUGAGGAGGGGGGGCAUAUGCCCCCUGUCCAUGUUUUUUUUUGUUUGGAAAAUCCAUUUUUUUGCAAUUUAUUUAAGUUGUAGAUAUAUUGGGCCCUUAUUUAAGAUGGGCCCUAGGCCGCCGCAUCUUUUGCCAUGGCUCCCCCCGAGAAUUUCUCCCAAUAGCAUCUGCAUCGCUCCGUGAAGACAGUCCCGAAUGCAGCGAGGAUGAGCCCGCCUUUGUUAGGGUGCACCGCCGCAAGGAGGGUCAGCGUUACCGCCGCGCCAGCCGUAAGGCUGCGCAUGGCGGCUGAAACCAGGCUGCGGCGCCGCUGCAGGAGCCGCCGCUACUCGUUAAGUGAUGCAUCUCCUCCAGCUUCCAUCACGGCUUCUCCUCUCUCUUCAGAUCUUCAGCUGCAAAACCCAAGCAACAAACACAAAGUGCAGAUCAGAACAACUCAACCCAAGAAACCAAGAAGAACUGCAUAUCUGAAGCUGCAAAGACCACACAACAGCACAAGCUCCACCCAAGCAACAAACUGCGCCCCAAGAGAAGCAGAAGGUGUCUCACCUCACCUGGCGAGAAAGGGAGGGACAAGGCGAGAGAGAGUGAAGUGUAGGGAGGGAUGAGGCGAGAGAGAGUGAGUGCAGGGAGGGACGAGGUGCGAGAGAGUGAAGCGCACAGAGGGAGGGAGGGAGCAGAAGAGAGCUACUAGCAGGGUAUAAAUGGGACUG
rnacentral:lncRNA from 1 species